rnacentral:rRNA from 1 species
GACGAACGCUGGCGGCAUGCCUAACACAUGCAAGUCGAACGAACCCUUCGGGGUUAGUGGCGCACGGGUGCGUAACGCGUGGGAAUCUGCCCUUUGCUUCGGAAUAACAGUUAGAAAUGACUGCUAAUACCGGAUGAUGUCUUCGGACCAAAGAUUUAUCGGCAAAGGAUGAGCCCGCGUAGGAUUAGGUAGUUGGUGGGGUAAAGGCCUACCAAGCCGACGAUCCUUAGCUGGUCUGAGAGGAUGAUCAGCCACACUGGGACUGAGACACGGCCCAGACUCCUACGGGAGGCAGCAGUGGGGAACAUUGGACAAUGGACGCAAGUCUGAUCCAGCAAUGCCGCGUGAGUGAUGAAGGCCUUAGGGUUGUAAAGCUCUUUUACCAGGGAUGAUAAUGACAGUACCUGGAGAAUAAGCUCCGGCUAACUCCGUGCCAGCCGCCGCGGUAAGAC